rnacentral:snRNA from 1 species
GUACUCCCUUCGACAGCACAUAUACUAACAUUGGAAUGAUACGGAGAAGUUUAGCAUGGCCCCUGUGCAAGCAUGACAUGCAAAUUCGUGAAGCAGUCCAUAUUUUU